rnacentral:rRNA from 1 species
ACUACGGGGGGCAGCAGUGAGGAAUAUUGGUCAAUGGGCGAGAGCCUGAACCAGCCAAGUCGCGUGAAGGAUGACGGCCCUACGGGUUGUAAACUUCUUUUGUCAGGGAGCAAUUGAGUCCACGUGUGGUCUUAGCGAGAGUACCUGAAGAAAAAGCAUCGGCUAACUCCGUGCCAGCAGCCGCGGUAAUACGGAGGAUGCGAGCGUUAUCCGGAUUUAUUGGGUUUAAAGGGUGCGUAGGCGGGAUGCCAAGUCAGCGGUAAAAAUGCGGUGCUCAACGCCGUCGAGCCGUUGAAACUGGCGUU